AUUCACUUGGGGAAACUCCCUUUUUAAGUCGGAAAUGGGUUAACGGCUAUAAAAGCUUCAGUUUAAGAUUUGCAUCUUCAAAACUUACAUCCUCUUCACAAAGUGGAUAUUGGAUGCAGUCCAGUAUUUGGUUGUGACGUUUAUCAGUAGGAUAAGCUGCCUGUUUCUUUGUGAACUCUACAGUGGUCUGUAGGGAGGAGUCAUCCUUUUGUAUUCCAUUAAUCUCUUAAAUUAUUCCAAAUGUUCAGGCAUGUUAUGCUUAAAGGGAAACCAUUGAAAAUAACUUUUGACUUGUGUUAACUUUUUUUUUUUUUAUUCCUGAGAUGACCUGUUUUUCUUAAGUUUUAUAUUUAAGAUUUAGCAAAUGACAUUUAAAAUCCAU